rnacentral:rRNA from 1 species
AUUUAAAAAAAAAAGUCUGUGCCUGAUCUCGGAAGCUAAGCAGGGUCGGGCCUGGUUAGUAUUUGGAUGGGAGACCGCCUGGGAAUACCAGGUGCUGUAAGCU